rnacentral:rRNA from 1 species
GACGAACGUUGGCGGCGUGCCUAAUACAUGCAAGUCAACUGAAAUACCGGUAGCAAUACUGGUAUGGAGGUGGCGCACGGGUGAGUAACACGUAGGUAAUCUGCCUUCAGGUCUGACAUAACCCAUCGAAAGGUGAGCUAAUAUCAGAUGAUGCAGCGGCUUGACAUCAAGACAGUUGUUAAAGCUUCGGCGCCUGAAGAUGAGCCUGCGCUGAUUAGCUAGUUGGCGGGGUAACGCCCACCAAGGCUGCGAUCAGUAGCUGGUCUGAGAGGAUGAUCAGUCACACUGGAACUGAGACACGGUCCAGACUCCUACGGGAGCAGCAGUAAGGAAUAUUGCUCAAU